GACGAACGCUGGCGGCGUGCUUAACACAUGCAAGUCGAACGGAAAGGCCCUGCUUUUGUGGGGUGCUCGAGUGGCGAACGGGUGAGUAACACGUGAGUAACCUGCCCUUGACUUUGGGAUAACUUCAGGAAACUGGGGCUAAUACCGUAUAGGAGCUCCUGCUGCAUGGUGGGGGGUGGAAAGUUUCGGCGGUUGGGGAUGGACUCGCGGCUUAUCAGCUUGUUGGUGGGGUAGUGGCUUACCAAGGCUUUGACGGGUAGCCGGCCUGAGAGGGUGACCGGCCACAUUGGGACUGCGAUACGGACCAGACUCCUACGGGAGGCAGCAGUGGGGAAUAUUGCACAAUGGGAGGAAGCCUGAUGCAGCAACGCCGCGUGCGGGAUGACGGCCUUCGGGUUGUAAACCGCUUUCGCCUGUGACGAAGCGUGAGUGACGGUAAUGGGUAAAGAAGCACCGGCUAACUACGUG
rnacentral:rRNA from 1 species